rnacentral:rRNA from 1 species
CCUACGGGUGGCAGCAGUGGGGAAUAUUGCACAAUGGGGGAAACCCUGAUGCAGCGACGCCGCGUGAGUGAAGAAGUAAUUCGGUAUGUAAAGCUCUAUCAGCAGGGAAGAAAAUGACGGUACCUGAGUAAGAAGCCCCGGCUAACUACGUGCCAGCAGCCGCGGUAAUACGUCGGGGGCAAGCGUUAUCCGGAUUUACUGGGUGUAAAGGGAGCGUAGACGGCAGUGCAAGUCUGGAGUGAAAGGCGGGGGCUCAACCCACGGACUGCUCUGGAAACUGUACGGCUGGAGUGCAGGAGAGGUACGUGGAAUUCCUAGUGUAGCGGUGAAAUGCGUAGAUAUUAGGAGGAACACCAGUGGCGAAGGCGGCUUACUGGACUGUAACUGACGUUGAGGCUCGAAAGCGUGGGGAGCAAACAGGAUUAGAUACCCUUGUAGUC